rnacentral:rRNA from 1 species
AGCAGCCGCGGUAAUUCCAGCUCCAAUAGCGUAUAUUAAAGUUGUUGCAGUUAAAAAGCUCGUAGUUGAAUUUCGAGAUCAGUACGCUGGUCGUGCCUUCGGUACUAUGCACUGGUGUCACUGGUUUCUCCCUUCUGAAGAACCGUAAUGCCAUUCAGUUGGUGUGGCGGGGAAUCAGGAUUGUUACUUUGAAAAAAUUAGAGUGUUUAAAGCAGGCUCGUGCUUGAAUACAUUAGCAUGGAAUAAUGAAAUAGGACGUUUGAUCCUAUUUUGUUGGUUUCUAGGAUCGACGUAAUGAUUAAUAGGGAUAGUUGGGGGCAUUAGUAUUCAAUUGUCAGAGGUGAAAUUCUUGGAUUUAUUAAAGACUAACUACUGCGAAAGCAUUUGCCUAAGGAUGUUUUCAUUAAUCAAGAACGAAAGUUGGGGGAUCGAAGACGAUCAGAUACCGUCGUAG